AUUGAACGCUGGCGGCAGGCUUAACACAUGCAAGUCGAGCGAGCGGCGGACGGGUGAGUAAUGUCUGGGAAACUGCCUGAUGGAGGGGGAUAACUACAGGAAACGGUAGCUAAUACCGCAUACCAUCAGAUGUGUCCAGAUGGGAUUUGCUAGUAGGUGGGGUAAUGGCUCACCUAGGCGACGAUCACUAGCUGGUCUGAGAGGAUGACCAGCACCACUGGAACUGAGACACGGUCCAGACUCCUACGGGGGGCAGCAGUGGGGAAUAUUGCACAAUGGGCGCAGGCCGGAUGCAGCCAUGCCGCGUGUGUGAAGAGGGCCUUCGGGUUGUAAAGUACUUUCAGCGGGGAGACGUUACCCGCAGAAGAAGCACCGGCUAACUCCGUGCCAGCAGCCGCGGUAAUUC
rnacentral:rRNA from 1 species